rnacentral:rRNA from 1 species
GUGAGGAAUUUUCCGCAAUGGGCGAAAGCCUGACGGAGCAAUGCCGCGUGAAGGAUGAAGGCCUAUGGGUUGUAAACUUCUUUUCUUAGAGAAGAAUAUUGACGGUAUCUGAGGAAUAAGCAUCGGCUAACUCUGUGCCAGCAGCCGCGGUAAGACAGAGGAUGCAAGCGUUAUCCGGAAUGAUUGGGCGUAAAGCGUCUGUAGGUGGCUUCAAAAGUCUCCUGUCAAAGACCAGGGCUUAACCCUGGGCCGGCAGGAGUAACUCUGAGGCUAGAGUUUGGUAGGGGCAGAGGGAAUUCCCGGUGGAGCGGUGAAAUGCGUAGAGAUCGGGAGGAACACCAAAGGCGAAAGCACUCUGCUGGGCCACAACUGACACUGAGAGACGAAAGCGAGGGGAGCAAAAGGGAUUAGAUACCCGGGUAGUCC